GAAUGAAGAUAACCCAAUUCUUUUUUAUGUAACUCGAACUACAAAAAAUCAACAAAACUAUAGUUACUAAGAAUGCAUAGAAAUAAUGCCGGAGUCGAUUCUGAUGAGAUAACGGGCGAAACAUGAGAGAAUUUAGUAUAGCAGGAUCGAAAUUUCCUGCACAGUACUUGCCCGUAGUGAUAUCCUAAUUCGGCUACCUCCCCCACUCAUUAAGGCAGAACAUAAGAAACUAUUGCCAAGAGGGACCGGAGAACUCUUUGCCCCAUCACCUAC
rnacentral:lncRNA from 1 species